GACAGAGGUUGCAAACGUUGUUCGGAAUUACUGGGCAUAAAGCGCACGUAGGCGGUCCGUUAAGUCAUGCGUGAAAUCCCCCGGCUCAACCGGGGAAUUGCGCCUGAUACUGGCGGGCUAGAGGUCGAUAGGGGUGAGCGGAACUCCAGGUGGAGCGGUGAAAUGCGUAGAUAUCUGGAGGAACACCGGUGGCGAAAGCGGCUCACUGGAUCGAAACUGACGCUGAGGUGCGAAAGCUAGGGUAGCAAACGGG
rnacentral:rRNA from 1 species